ensembl:snRNA U2 U2 spliceosomal RNA
AUCGCUUCUCGGCCUUUUGGCUAAGAUCAAGUGAAAAUUAUACAUUAACUUUUUUUUUAAUGGGAAGACACAUCUGCUACCCCUU